GAAUUUUGGACAAUGGGGGCAACCCUGAUUCAGCCAUCCCGCGUGUGGGAUGAAGGCCUUCGGGUUGUAAAGCACUUUUGGCAGGGAAGAAAAGGCUCUGGCUAAUCCCUGGGGCUGCUGACGGUACCUGCAGAAUAAGCACCGGCUAACUACGUCCCAGCCGCCGCGGUAAGACGUAGGGUGCAAGCGUUAAUCGGGCUUACUGGGGGUAAAGCGGGCGCAGGCGGUUUGGCAAGAAGGAUGUGAAAUCCCAGGGCUUAACCUUGGAACUGCAUUCUUAACUGCCAGGCUAGAGUAUGUCAGAGGGGGGUAGAAUUCCACGUGUAGCAGUGAAAUGCGUAGAGAUGUGGAGGAAUACCGAUGGCGAAGGCAGCCCCCUGGGAUAAUACUGACGCUCAUGCACGAAAGCGUGGGGAGCAAACA
rnacentral:rRNA from 1 species